rnacentral:rRNA from 1 species
UACGUAGGUGGCAAGCGUUGUCCGGAAUUAUUGGGCGUAAAGCGCACGCAGGCGGUCUGUUAAGUCAGAUGUGAAAUCCCCGGGCUCAACCUGGGAACUGCAUUUGAAACUGGCAGGCUUGAGUCUUGUAGAGGGGGGUAGAAUUCCAGGUGUAGCGGUGAAAUACGUAGAGAUCUGGAGGAAUACCGGUGGCGAAGGCGGCCCCCUGGACAAAGACUGACGCACAGGUGCGAAAGCGUGGGGAGCAAACAGGAUUAGAUACCCUGGUAGUCCACGCUGUAAACGAUGUCGACUUGGAGGUUGUUCCCUUGAGGAGUGGCUUCCGGAGCUAACGCGUUAAGUCGACCGCCUGGGGAGUACGGCCGCAAGGUUAAA